UAUAAUUGUUAUUAUUAUACUUUAUUAUAUAUUUUUCUUUUAAAACAAAAAUUAUUAUAAAAUAUUUAUCUUAUUAUUAAAUUUUAAAAUAAAAAUAUUUUAGAUUGUUGAUAUAUUUUAACACGAAUUAUUGUUUACUCAAAUCAUUUCAAAGAAAGGUUAGGCUAAGAAGUGGUUCUCUGAAAAUUUUAAUAUCGUUAUAUGAAAGGUUGGAAACAUUUCCACAAUCUUAAAGUUUCAUCAGCUCCUGCACUAAGAAUGGUAGUACCAUCUGGAGACAUCGCUAAGUGUAAAACACGACUAGAAUGGCCUACCAAAGCAAAGAACACACCUGUGAUUUGGUAUCUACCAUAUUUAAACAUACACCUAUUGUAUAAAUAUUAAAUAAUAAAAAAAAUUUUUUCAUGAAA